AAGAUUUAUCGCUUGGAGAUGAGCCCGCGUCCCAUCAGCUAGUUGGUAGGGUAACGGCCUACCAAGGCUACGACGGGUAGGGGGUGUGAGAGCAUGGCCCCCCACAAUGGCACUGAGACAAGGGCCAUACGCCUACGGGUGGCAGCAAUCGGGAAUCUUGCACAAUGGACGCAAGUCUGAUGCAGCGACGCCGCGUGAAGGAUGAAGGUCGAAAGAUUGUAAACUUCUUAAUUUGCCGAAAGGCAGAGGAUGAAGCCCCGGCUAACUACGUGCCAGCAGCAGCGGUAAAACGUAGGGGGCGAGCGUUGUCCGGAUUUACUGGGCUUAAAGAGUACGUAGGUGUUUCGGGAAGUCUUGGCUUAAAGCCCGCGGCUCAACCGCGGAACGUGUCGAGAUACUUCCGAAAUUGAGGAAGGUAGGGGGUGGCGGAACAUUGCAAGGAGGGGUGAAAUCCGAUGAUCUGCGAUGGAACACCGAAAGCGAAGGCAGCCACCUGGGCCUUUCCUGACACUGAGGUACGAAAGCUAGGGGAGCGAAACGGAUUAGAUACCCGUGUAGUCCUAGCCGUAAACGAUGGACACUAGCUAUAUCCAGUUUUGGGUGGCGUAAGCUAACGCGUUAAGUGUCCCGCCUGGGGAGUACGGCCGCAAGGCUAAAACUCAAAGGAAUUGACGGGGACCCGCACAAGCGGUGGAGCAUGUGGUUUAAUUCGAUGAUAACCGAAGAAUCUCACCAGGGUUUGACAUGCAAGUGGUAGGAAUCCGAAAGGUGACCGACCCGCAAGGGAGCUUGCACAGGUGUUGCAUGGCUGUCGUCAGUUCGUGGCGUGAGCUGUAUGGUUAAGUCCCAUAACGAACGCAACCCCUAUUGNNNNNNNNAAAUGUCUAGCGAGACUGCCCGGGCAACCGGGAGGAAGGUGGGGACGACGUCAAGUCAGCAUGGCCUUUAUAUCCUGGGCUACACACAUGCUACAAUGGCGACCACAACGGGUUGCGAAGCGGCAACGCUGAGCUAAUCCUCAAAAGUCGUCUCAGUUCGGAUUGGGGGCUGAAACUCGCCCCCAUGAAGUAGGAAUCGCUAGUAAUGGCCGGUCAGCUAUACGGCCGUGAAUACGUUCUCGGGUCUUGUACACACCGCCCG
rnacentral:rRNA from 1 species